rfam:Mus musculus chromosome 10, GRC primary reference assembly.
UAUAUAUCUGAAACAGAGUUUUCAAUAUGUU